GACGAACGCUGGCGGCGUGCCUAAUACAUGCAAGUUGAGCGCUGAAGGUUGGUACUUGUACCUACUGGAUGAGCAGCGAACGGGUGAGUAACGCGUGGGGAAUCUGCCUUUGAGCGGGGGACAACAUUUGGAAACGAAUGCUAAUACCGCAUAAAAACUUUAAACACAAGUUUUAAGUUUGAAAGAUGCAAUUGCAUCACUCAAAGAUGAUCCCGCGUUGUAUUAGCUAGUUGGUGAGGUAAAGGCUCAACAAGGCGAUGAUACAUAACCGGCCUGGGAGGGUGAUUGGCCCACUUGGGACGGGGAACAGGCCCAAACCCCUACGGGGGGGAGGAGGUGGGGAAUCUCGGGAAAGGGCGAAAGUCUGAACGGGGCACGCCGCGGGAGUGAAGGAGGGUUUCGGAUCGUAAAAAUCUGUUGGUAGAGAAGAAAGUUAGGGGGAGUGGAAAGCGCAUCUAGUGACGGUAACUACCCAGAAAGCGACGGCUAACUACGUG
rnacentral:rRNA from 1 species